rnacentral:rRNA from 1 species
GCCCGUCACACCAUGGGAGUGGGCUUUACCAGAAGUAGUUAGCCUAACCGCAAGGAGGGCGAUUACCACGGUAGGGUUCAUGACUGGGGUGAAGUCGUAACAAGGUAGCCGUAUCGGAAGGUGCGGCUGGAUCACCUCCUUU